AAUGAACGUUGGCGGCGUGGAUUAGGCAUGCAAGUCGAGCGGAAAGGCCCGCAAGGGCACUCGAGCGGCGUAAGGGACAGUAAUGUGUAGGUAACGUACCCCUGGGUCUAGGAUAGCUGCGGGAAACUGCAAUUAAUACUAGAUAACGUCUCCGGACCAAAGGUGUGAUUCCACCUGGGGANCGGCCUACAUCCUAUUAGCUAGUUGGCGAGGUAAUGGCUCACCAAGGCGAAGAUGGGUAGCAGGUGUGAGAGCACGACCUGCGUCACUGGGACUGAGACACUGCCCAGACACCUACGGGUGGCUGCAGUCGAGAAUCUUCGGCAAU
rnacentral:rRNA from 1 species